GUGGGUACUUUUAAUCUUUUUUUUUCAGAAAAAUUGUCCCAACUUUCCCUCCAGAGACUAAGUCUAGCCGUGCACAGGGUGACCGUGUGAGAUGUAAAUGGACAAACAAAGGGGCGUGCAAUAUAUAAGGCUAGUCAGUGGACAUUCUGAAAGUAGUUUGAGGGUUGUAGAUCACAUGACCAGGGAACUAUUGAAAUUAAAAAACGUUAAAAAAAAUCAUGUAAAACUGCAUGAUGAAAAUGGACAAACUAAAGGGUGUGCAAUAUAGAAGGGUAGUCAGUGGACAUUCUGAACCUUGUUUGACUCCAGUAGGUCACAUGACCAAGGAGCUAUUGAAAUUAGAAUCAUUGAAACACAUUGAAAAUGUCGAGAACCGGAAUAGAAGAAGCAUUACUUUUUUUUAAAUUAAGAGGGAUGCACACACACACACGUGAAGAAUCCUGCUGGGGAGAAGUGGAAGAAAAUGGGUCUUCAUCCUCAUCCUCAGGCUCAGACAACAUUUGUGAAGACACCAGUGUGGCUGAGGAGGUGGAUGGCUCCUCAUCCUGAGGCUCCGAGAUCAUUUCUGAAGAGGCCUGUGUGGCAGAGGAGGUGGAUGGCUC
rnacentral:lncRNA from 1 species